rnacentral:rRNA from 1 species
GACGAACGCUGGCGGCGUGCCUAAUACAUGCAAGUCGAACGCUGAAGGAGGAGCUUGCUCUUCUGGAUGAGUUGCGAACGGGUGAGUAACGCGUAUGUAACCUGCCUGGUAGCGGGGGAUAACUCUUGGAAACGAUAGCUAAUACCGCAUAACAGUAGAUGUUGCAUGACAUUUACUUAAAAGGUGCAAUUGCAUCACUACCAGAUGGACCUGCGUUGUAUUAGCUAGUUGGUGGGGUAACGGCUCACCAAGGCGACGAUACAUAGCCGACCUGAGAGGGUGAUCGGCCACACUGGGACUGAGACACGGCCCAGACUCCUACAGGAGGCAGCAGUAGGGAAUCUUCGGCAAUGGACGGAAGUCUGACCGAGCAACGCCGCGUGAGUGAAGAAGGGUUUCGGAUCGUAAAGCUCUGUUGUAAGAGAAGAACGAGUGUGAGAGUGGAAAGUUCACACUGUGACGGUAUCUUACCAGAAAGGGACGGCUAACUACGUG